rnacentral:lncRNA from 1 species
AUGAACAUUGGAGACUGAAAAUAGAUGGGAAAUCAGGGCCUAUUUUGAGGGAGAGUUAAGGGGAGGAAACAACAGUUGACCCAUGUUGGCCAUGUGAUGUAGAAAUCAGGGCCUGUCAUUGUGGUGUAUGUGUGGCUUAUGUUGGCCGUGUGAUGUGGAACAGCUGACCCAUGUUAGUUAGGAGAGUGGAUCGAAUAUCAGAGGGUUCGAAUGGGAGUGAAUAUCCCAAAUGCAU